CACGGAGUUAGCCGAUGCUUAUUCGUAGGGUACAUUCACUCCAGUACACGUACUAGUCUUUAUUCCCCUACAAAAGAAGUUUACAAUCCAUAAGGCAGUCAUCCUUCACGCGACUUGGCUGGUUCAGGCUCUCGCCCAUUGACCAAUAUUCCUCACUGCUGCCUCCCGUAGGAGUCUGGUCCGUGUCUCAGUACCAGUGUGGGGGUUCAACCUCUCAGUUCCCCUACCCAUCGUUGCCUUGGUGAGCCGUUACCUCACCAACGAGCUAAUGGGACGCAUGCCUAUCUCACAGCGAAUUUCAUUUCCUUACCAAAGGAUGCCCUCCGAUAAGUGUACGCGGUAUUAGUCCGUCUUUCGACGGGUUAUCCCCUCUGUGAGGCAAGUUGCAUACGCGUUACGCACCCGUGCGCCGGUCGCCAUCAGUCUUAGCAAGCUAAGCCAUGCUGCCCCUCGACUUACAUGUGUUAAGCCUAUCGCUAGCGUUCAUCCUGAGCCAGGUA
rnacentral:rRNA from 1 species